AUUGAACGCUGGCGGCAUGCCUUACACAUGCAAGUCGAACGGCAGCACGGGUGCUUGCACCUGGUGGCGAGUGGCGAACGGGUGAGUAAUACAUCGGAACGUACCUUAUCGUGGGGGAUAACGCAGCGAAAGCUGUGCUAAUACCGCAUACGCCCUGAGGGGGAAAGCGGGGGAUCGAAAGACCUCGCGCGAUUAGAGCGGCCGAUGCCUGAUUAGCUUGUUGGUGGGGUAAAAGCCCACCAAGGCGACGAUCAGUAGCUGGUCUGAGAGGACGAUCAGCACCACUGGUACUGAGGCACGGCCCAGACUCCUACGGGAGGCAGCAGUGGGGAAUUUUGGACAAUGGGGGCAACCCUGAUCCAGCAAUGCCGCGUGAGUGAAGAAGGCCUUCGGGUUGUAAAGCUCUUUUGUCAGGGAAGAAACACCGGCUCUAACACAGUCCGGGAAUGACGGUACCUGAAGAAUAAGCACCGGCUAACUACGUGCCAGCAGCCGCCGCAG
rnacentral:rRNA from 1 species